rnacentral:rRNA from 1 species
AAGAUAGGCUUGCGGCCCAUUAGUUAGUUGGUGAGGUAACGGCUCACCAAGGCAACGAUGGGUAGCCGGCCUGAGAGGGUGAUCGGCCACAUUGGGACUGAGAUACGGCCCAGACUCCUACGGGAGGCAGCAGUAGGGAAUAUUGCGCAAUGGGCGAAAGCCUGACGCAGCAACGCCGCGUGAGGGAUGACUGCCUUCGGGUUGUAAACCUCUGUUGAGUGGGAAGAAACUUUGUGCCGUUAAUAGCGGUAUGAACUGACGGUACCGCUCGAGGAAGCCCCGGCGAACUACGUGCCAGCAGCCGCGGUAAUACGUAGGGGGCGAGCGUUGUUCGGAAUUACUGGGCGUAAAGAGAGCGUAGGCGGGAGAGUAAGUUAGGAGUGAAAUGCAUGGGCUUAACCCAUGGUCCGCUCUUAAUACUGCUUUCCUUGAGUGUAGGAGGGGAAAGCGGAAUUCCGGGUGUAGCGGUGGAAUGCGUAGAUAUCCGGAAGAAUAUCAAUGGCGAAGGCUGCUUUCUGGCCUAUUACUGACGCUGAGGCUCUAAAGCUAGGGGAGCGAACAGGAUUAGAUACCCUGGUAGUCCUAGCCGUAAACGUUGGGCACUAGAUGUUGGAGGGUUUCCCUUCAGUGUCGUAGCUAACGCGAUAAGCGCCCCGCCUGGGGAGUACGCCCGCAAGGGUGAAACUCAAAGGAAUUGACGGGGGCCCGCACAAGCGGUGGAGCAUGUGCUUUAAUUCGAUGAUACGCGAGGAACCUUACCUGGGUUUGACAUGGGAGUGAAAGCCGCCAGAGAUGGUGGCCCUUCUCUUCGGAGAACGCUCCACACAGGUGCUGCAUGGUUGUCGUCAGCUCGUGUCGUGAGAUGUUGGGUUAAGUCCCAUAACGAGCGCAACCCUUGCCCUUAGUUGCCAGCGGUUCGGCCGGGCACUCUAAGGGGACUGCCUGGUAUUUCCAGGAGGAAGGGGAGGAUGACGUCAAAUCAUCAUGGCCCUUAAGCCCAGGGCUAGACACGUGCUACAAUGGCCGGUACAAAGGGAUGCAAUGCCGCGAGGCUGAGCAAAUCCCUAAAACCGGUCUCAGUUCGGAUUGGAGUCUGCAAUUCGACUCCAUGAAGUUGGAAUCGCUAGUAAUCGCGGAUCAGAAUGUCGCGG